AAAGGCACUGAGAACUGUAAGGCAUAGG
rnacentral:piRNA from 1 species